CACGUAGGGUGCGAGCGUUGUCCGGAAUUAUUGGGCGUAAAGAGCUCGUAGGCGGGGUGUCGCGUCGGCCGUGAAAACCUGCAGCUUAACUGUGGGCGUGCGGUCGAUACGGGCAUCACUGGAGUUCGGCAGGGGAGACUGGAAUUCCUGGUGUAGCGGUGAAAUGCGCAGAUAUCAGGAGGAACACCGGUGGCGAAGGCGGGUCUCUGGGCCGGUACUGACGCUGAGGCGCGAAAGCGUGGGGAGCAAACAGG
rnacentral:rRNA from 1 species